UACGGGGGGGGCAAGCGUUGUUCGGAAUUACUGGGCGUAAAGGGCUCGUAGGCGGCCAACUAAGUCGGAUGUGAAAUCCCCAGGCUUAACCUGGGAACUGCAUCCGAUACUGGAUGGCUUGAAUUCGGGAGAGGGAUGCAGAAUUCCAGGUGUAGCGGUGAAAUGCGUAGAUAUCUGGAGGAAUACCGGUGGCGAAGGCGGGUCUCUGGGCCGAUACUGACGCUGAGGAGCGAAAGCGUGGGGAGCGAACAGG
rnacentral:rRNA from 1 species